UACAGAGGGCCCAAGCGUUGUUCGGAUUCACUGGGCGUAAAGGGUGCGUAGGCGGUCGGGUAAGUCUGAUGUGAAAUCUCACAGCUUAACUGUGAAACUGCAUUGGAUACUAUCCGGCUUGAGGAAUGGAGGGGAGACUGGAAUACUUGGUGUAGCAGUGAAAUGCGUAGAUAUCAAGUGGAACACCAGUGGCGAAGGCGAGUCUCUGGACAUUUCCUGACGCUGAGGCACGAAAGCCAGGGGAGCAAACGGG
rnacentral:rRNA from 1 species